CAAGGUGGGAGGAGGAGGAGAAGCAGCAAAUCAGAAGCGAGGGUGCUGAGGCGGAGGCAGAUACCCCGGAAUCCCUAGAUGCAUGCAGCCAGGAGCUGUUCUCAAGCCAGGAGGAGGGUAGCCAGUCACGGUGGCCGGUGCUUGGGAAAGGAUAAACACCAGAGGAGGUUCCGGAUGCAACCUUGAGAUCUCAACCGUCCAUGUUAACACCGG